rnacentral:rRNA from 1 species
AUGUGUGGAAAGAUGGAUGAGGUUCACCUCCACAUGGAGCACAAGAGCCUACCCGGUGGAGAAUUUGGAGGAGUUCGUGCCUCGAUGUCCAAACCUCCGACGUCUAGCACUUCUAGGCCAAACAGCAUGGUUGUCAAGAAAGUGUGCCCACGGGAGUACAUCCCGCCGCACAUCGUGGCGGAGGCAAUCUCGACGCUGCACGGCCUCGACCUGCGGUGGUCGGGGCCGAUCACGCCCAGCGAGCGGCUCUACGUGGAGCAGUACGUGAUGGCCAAGUACCCGCAGUACUCUCACGGACUCAUUGAGGAGGAAAGCUGUGACAAGGACGACCUCUACUCCACCUACUAUAGCACCGGCAGCAUGUCUGCCUCGCCCGAGGGCGGAUCCGGCGAGCGGCGGAGGCCGUCGCCGACGGGGUCCCCGUCGUCGGCGAGGCCUGACAUCGACAUGGUCAGGUUGGAGCCGUCGCGUCUGCUGGACAUCCUGACCAAGAAGUCUUCCUUCACGGGGAGCUUCAUCUCCAUACCGGAGAUCCAGGCCAGGAACAGGGUGCUCCGGCACUGCGGACUCACCGACGAUGAGUACCUCGUGCUCUUCGCCGCCACGCCCAAGGACGCCAUGAUGCUGAUAGGCGAGAGCUACCCCUUCUUCCGGAGCAACUACUACAUGUCAAUCCUAGCCGACGACCGCGACUGCAUCCACGCAUUUGCGGCGUACAAGGAGGCCAAGGUCAUCGCGGCGCCGGAGUCGUGGCUGGAUCUCCGCAUCAAGGGCUCACAGCUCAGCCAGUACUUCCGCCGCAAGUCAAAACUCACGCACAAGGGCCUCUUCGCCUACCCAGCCGUCUCCGCCGCAGCCCCCGCCACCGACGACGGAAUCGCCCCGCCACCGCCGCGCUACUCCAUGCACUGGGUCUCCGAGGCGCACCGCAACGGCUGGCACGUGCUCCUGGACGCCACCGCGCUGGUCGUCGGCGAGGACCGGCUGCCGCUGUCGCUGCACCGGCCGGACCUCGUGCUGUGCACGCUCGACGACACGCACUCGCAGCAGCCGUCCGCCAAGGUGACAUGCCUGCUCGUCAGGAGGCGGUCCUUCGACACCUCCGCCCUGCCGCAGCCGCAGCAGAAACAGUGA